rnacentral:rRNA from 1 species
AUGCAAGUCGAACGGUAACAUGACUAGCUUGCUAGUUGAUGACGAGUGGCGGACGGGUGAGUAACGCGUAGGAAUCUACCCAGUAGCGGGGGAUAAGCCAGAGAAAUUUGGUCUAAUACCGCAUACGCCCUUCGGGGGAAAGCAGGGGAUCUUCGGACCUUGCACUAUUGGAUGAGCCUGCGUGAGAUUAGCUUGUUGGUGAGGUAAUGGCUCACCAAGGCGACGAUCUCUAGCUGGUCUGAGAGGAUGAUCAGCCACACUGGAACUGAGACACGGUCCAGACUCCUACGGGAGGCAGCAGUGGGGAAUAUUGCACAAUGGGCGCAAGCCUGAUGCAGCCAUGCCGCGUGUGUGAAGAAGGCCCUAGGGUUGUAAAGCACUUUCAGCAGUGAGGAAAGGUUAGUAGUUAAUACCUGCUAGCUGUGACGUUAACUGCAGAAGAAGCACCGGCUAACUCCGUGCCAGCAGCCGCGGUAAUACGGAGGGUGCGAGCGUUAAUCGGAAUUACUGGGCGUAAAGCGCGCG